UGGGGCCUGCCGUUUGUCCUACAGGCAUAC
rnacentral:piRNA from 1 species